rnacentral:rRNA from 1 species
UAAGACGAACCGUGCGAACGUUAUUCGGAAUCACUGGGCUUAAAGCGCGUGUAGGCGGGCCGCCGCGUCGGCUGCUGAAAUCCCCCGGCUCAACCGGGGAACGGGCACCGAUACGGGCGGCCUGGAGGGGGGUAGGGGGGCCUGGAACUUCCGGUGGAGCGGUGAAAUGCGUUGAGAUCGGAAGGAACGCCCGUGGCGAAAGCGAGGCCCUGGACCCUUACUGACGCUGAGACGCGAAAGCCAGGGGAGCGAACGGGAUUAGAUACCCCGGUAGUCCUGGCCGUAAACGAUGAACACUGGGUAGGGGGCUCGCCGAUGGGCUCCCUGCCGUAGGGAAACCGUGAAGUGUUCCGCCUGGGGAGUAUGGUCGCAAGGCUG